GGGGUUGAGCUCAAAGGAAACGCACUUGCUUUGCAAGAUUGAGGUCCUGGGAUCAAUCCCCAGCAUCUUCC